ACCGUUAUAACCGGCGAUUUCCGAAUGGGGAAACCCAGUGUGAUUCGUCACACUAUCAUUAACUGAAUCCAUAGGUUAAUGAGGCGAACCGGGGGAACUGAAACAUCUAAGUACCCCGAGGAAAAGAAAUCAACCGAGAUUCCCCCAGUAGCGGCGAGCGAACGGGGAGGAGCCCAGAGCCUGAAUCAGCAUGUGUGUUAGUGGAAGCGUCUGGAAAGGCGCGCGAUACAGGGUGACAGCCCCGUACACAAAAGCGCAUGUGCUGUGAGCUCGAUGAGUAGGGCGGGACACGUGGUAUCCUGUCUGAAUAUGGGGGGACCAUCCUCCAAGGCUAAAUACUCCUGACUGACCGAUAGUGAACCAGUACCGUGAGGGAAAGGCGAAAAGAACCCCGGCGAGGGGAGUGAAAAAGAACCUGAAACCGUGUACGUACAAGCAGUGGGAGCACAGGUUUACCUGUGUGACUGCGUACCUUUUGUAUAAUGGGUCAGCGACUUAUAUUCUGUAGCAAGGUUAACCGAAUAGGGGAGCCGGAGGGAAACCGAGUCUUAAUUGGGCGUUAAGUUGCAGGGUAUAGACCCGAAACCCGGUGAUCUAGCCAUGGGCAGGUUGAAGGUUGGGUAACACUAACUGGAGGACCGAACCGACUAAUGUUGAAAAAUUAGCGGAUGACCUGUGGCUGGGGGUGAAAGGCCAAUCAAACCGGGAGAUAGCUGGUUCUCCCCGAAAGCUAUUUAGGUAGCGCCUCGUGAAUUCAUCUCCGGGGGUAGAGCACUGUUUCGGCUAGGGGGCCAUCCCGGCUUACCAACCCGAUGCAAACUGCGAAUACCGGAGAAUGUUAUCACGGGAGACACACGGCGGGUGCUAACGUCCGUCGUGAAGAGGGAAACAACCCAGACCGCCAGCUAAGGUCCCAAAGUCAUGGUUAAGUGGGAAACGAUGUGGGAAGGCCCAGACAGCCAGGAUGUUGGCUUAGAAGCAGCCAUCAUUUAAAGAAAGCGUAAUAGCUCACUGGUCGAGUCGGCCUGCGCGGAAGAUGUAACGGGGCUAAACCAUGCACCGAAGCUGCGGCAGCGAACGUAUCACUUAAAGCGAUUCAGCGGGUUACGAUUGACGGAGCGAAGCGACGUCAAAGCGUAUACAAAGUCGAGUCGGUUUAAGGAUACGUUCGUUGGGUAGGGGAGCGUUCUGUAAGCCUGUGAAGGUGGCCUGUGAGGGUUGCUGGAGGUAUCAGAAGUGCGAAUGCUGACAUAAGUAACGAUAAAGCGGGUGAAAAGCCCGCUCGCCGGAAGACCAAGGGUUCCUGUCCAACGUUAAUCGGGGCAGGGUGAGUCGACCCCUAAGGCGAGGCCGAAAGGCGUAGUCGAUGGGAAACAGGUUAAUAUUCCUGUACUUGGUGUUACUGCGAAGGGGGGACGGAGAAGGCUAUGUUGGCCGGGCGACGGUUGUCCCGGUUUAAGCGUGUAGGCUGGUUUUCCAGGCAAAUCCGGAAAAUCAAGGCUGAGGCGUGAUGACGAGGCACUACGGUGCUGAAGCAACAAAUGCCCUGCUUCCAGGAAAAGCCUCUAAGCAUCAGGUAACAUCAAAUCGUACCCCAAACCGACACAGGUGGUCAGGUAGAGAAUACCAAGGCGCUUGAGAGAACUCGGGUGAAGGAACUAGGCAAAAUGGUGCCGUAACUUCGGGAGAAGGCACGCUGACACGUAGGUGAAGUGAUUUACUCACGGAGCUGAAGUCAGUCGAAGAUACCAGCUGGCUGCAACUGUUUAUUAAAAACACAGCACUGUGCAAACACGAAAGUGGACGUAUACGGUGUGACGCCUGCCCGGUGCCGGAAGGUUAAUUGAUGGGGUCAGCGCAAGCGAAGCUCCUGAUCGAAGCCCCGGUAAACGGCGGCCGUAACUAUAACGGUCCUAAGGUAGCGAAAUUCCUUGUCGGGUAAGUUCCGACCUGCACGAAUGGCGUAAUGAUGGCCAGGCUGUCUCCACCCGAGACUCAGUGAAAUUGAACUCGCUGUGAAGAUGCAGUGUACCCGCGGCAAGACGGAAAGACCCCGUGAACCUUUACUAUAGCUUGACACUGAACAUUGAGCCUUGAUGUGUAGGAUAGGUGGGAGGCUUUGAAGCGUGGACGCCAGUCUGCGUGGAGCCGACCUUGAAAUACCACCCUUUAAUGUUUGAUGUUCUAACGUGGACCCGUAAUCCGGGUUGCGGACAGUGUCUGGUGGGUAGUUUGACUGGGGCGGUCUCCUCCUAAAGAGUAACGGAGGAGCACGAAGGUUGGCUAAUCCUGGUCGGACAUCAGGAGGUUAGUGCAAUGGCAUAAGCCAGCUUGACUGCGAGCGUGACGGCGCGAGCAGGUGCGAAAGCAGGUCAUAGUGAUCCGGUGGUUCUGAAUGGAAGGGCCAUCGCUCAACGGAUAAAAGGUACUCCGGGGAUAACAGGCUGAUACCGCCCAAGAGUUCAUAUCGACGGCGGUGUUUGGCACCUCGAUGUCGGCUCAUCACAUCCUGGGGCUGAAGUAGGUCCCAAGGGUAUGGCUGUUCGCCAUUUAAAGUGGUACGCGAGCUGGGUUUAGAACGUCGUGAGACAGUUCGGUCCCUAUCUGCCGUGGGCGCUGGAGAACUGAGGGGGGCUGCUCCUAGUACGAGAGGACCGGAGUGGACGCAUCACUGGUGUUCGGGUUGUCAUGCCAAUGGCACUGCCCGGUAGCUAAAUGCGGAAGAGAUAAGUGCUGAAAGCAUCUAAGCACGAAACUUGCCCCGA
rnacentral:rRNA from 1 species